rnacentral:rRNA from 1 species
GACGAGCGCUGGCGGCGUGCUUAACACAUGCAAGUCGAACGGUAAGGCCCUUCGGGGUACACGAGUGGCGAACGGGUGAGUAACACGUGGGUGAUCUGCCCUGCACUUCGGGAUAAGCCUGGGAAACUGGGUCUAAUACCGGAUAGGACCACUGCCUGCAUGGGUGGUGGUGGAAAGCUUUUGCGGUGUGGGAUGGGCCCGCGGCAUAUCAGCUUGUUGGUGGGGUGAUGGCCUACCAAGGCGACGACGGGUAGCCGGCCUGAGAGGGUGACCGGCCACACUGGGACUGAGAUACGGCCCAGACUCCUACGGGAGGCAGCAGUGGGGAAUAUUGCACAAUGAGCGCAAGCCUGAUGCAGCGACGCCGCGUGAGGGAUGACGGCCUUCGGGUUGUAAACCUCUUUCAGCACCGACGAAGCGCAAGUGACGGUAGGUGCAGAAGAAGGACCGGCCAACUACGUGCCAGCAGCCGCUGUAA